GACGAACGCUGGCGGCGUGCCUAAUACAUGCAAGUCGAACGCAGUGGGGACGGGUGAGUAACACGUGGGUAACCUCCCAUCAGAGGGGAUAACACUUGGAAACAGGUGCUAAACCGAUACUGAUGGAUGGACCCGCGGUGCAUUAGCUAGUUGGUGAGGUAACGGCUCACCAAGGCCAGGAUGCAUCGGCGACCGUAGAGGGUGAUCGGCCACACUGGGACUGAGACACGGCACAGACUCCUACGGGAGGCAGCAGUAGGGAAUCUUCGGAAAUGGACGAAAGUCUGACGGAGCAACGCCGCGUGAGUGAAGAAGGUUGUCGGAUCGUAAAGUUCUUUUAUAUGGGAAGCGGUACCAUAAGAAAAAGCCCCGGCUAACUACGUGCCAGCAGCCGCGGUAAUAC
rnacentral:rRNA from 1 species